CCUACGGGAGGCAGCAGUGGGGAAUAUUGCACAAUGGGGGGAACCCUGAUGCAGCGACGCCGCGUGGGUGAAGGAGUAUUUCGGUAUGUAAAGCCCUAUCAGCAGGGAAGAACAAUGACGGUACCUGACUAAGAAGCACCGGCUAAAUACGUGCCAGCAGCCGCGGUAAUACGUAUGGUGCAAGCGUUAUCCGGAUUUACUGGGUGUAAAGGGAGCGCAGGCGGCGCGUUAAGCCUGGUGUGAAAGUCCGCGGCCCAACCGCGGGACUGCAUUGGGAACUGGCGCGCUGGAGUGCCGGAGGGGUAGGCGGAAUUCCUAGUGUAGCGGUGAAAUGCGUAGAUAUUAGGAGGAACACCAGUGGCGAAGGCGGCCUACUGGACGGUGACUGACGCUGAGGCUCGAAAGCGUGGGGAGCAAACAGGAUUAGACACCCCAGUAGUC
rnacentral:rRNA from 1 species